AACGAACGCUGGCGGCAUGCCUAACACAUGCAAGUCGAACGAGACCUCCGGGUCUAGGGGCGCACGUCUGGGGAACGCGGGGGAACCUGCCCGUAGGUUCGGAAUAACUCAGAGAAAUAUAAGCUAAUACCGGUGAAUGUCUUCGGACCAAAGAUUUAUCGCCUUUGGAUGGGCCCGGGUAGGAUUAGCUUGUUGGGGGGGUAAUGGCAUACCAAGGCGACGUUGCUUAGCUGGUGUGGGAGGAUGAUCAGCAACGCUGGGACUGAGACACGGCCCAGACGCCUACGGGAGGCAGCAGUGGGGAAUAUUGGACAAUGGGCGAAAGCCUGAUCCAGCCAUGCCGCGUGAGUGAUGAAGGCCUUAGGGUUGUAAAGCUCUUUUACCAGGGAUGAUAAUGACAGUACCUGGUGAAUAAGCUCCGGCUAACUCCGUG
rnacentral:rRNA from 1 species